rnacentral:rRNA from 1 species
UACGGGGGGGGCAAGCGUUGUUCGGAAUUACUGGGCGUAAAGGGCUUGUAGGUGGCCAACUAAGUCAGACGUGAAAUCCCUCGGCUUAACCCGGGAACUGCGUCCGAUACUGGUUGGGCUUGAAUCCGGGAGAGGGAUGUGGAAUUCCAGGUGUAGCGGUGAAAUGCGUAGAUAUCUGGAGGAACACCGGUGGCGAAGGCGGCAUCCUGGACCGGUAUUGACGCUGAGGCGCGAAAGCCAGGGGAGCAAACGGG